AGAGUAAGUGUUUCUCCUGCAACCCAUUCCCUUUGUGCUGGAUGAACGAACGUCUCUCCACAUGCUCAGUUCGGAGAGAUAAGUAUGUGUGAAAGCCGUCCUUCACCUUGCUUGAAGGGAACACAAAGUUUCUUUUCAGUUGCAAGCUCCA